GACGAACGCUGGCGGCGUGCUUAACACAUGCAAGUCGAACGGAAAGGCCCUGCUUUUGUGGGGUGCUCGAGUGGCGAACGGGUGAGUAACACGUGAGUAACCUGCCCUUGACUUUGGGAUAACUUCAGGAAACUGGGGCUAAUACCGGAUAGGAGCUCCUGCUGCAUGGUGGGGGUUGGAAAGUUUCGGCGGUUGGGGAUGGACUCGCGGCUUAUCAGCUUGUUGGUGGGGUAGUGGCUUACCAAGGCUUUGACGGGUAGCCGGCCUGAGAGGGUGACCGGCCACCUUGGGACUGAGAUACGGCCCAGACUCCUACGGGAGGCAGCAGUGGGGAAUAUUGCACAAUGGGCGGAAGCCUGAUGCCGCAACGCCGCGUGCGGGAUGACGGCCUUCGGGUUGUAAACCGCUUUCGCCUGUGACGAAGCGUGAGUGACGGUAAUGGGUAAAGAAGCACCGGCUAACUACGUG
rnacentral:rRNA from 1 species